AUUGAACGCUGGCGGCAGGCCUAACACAUGCAAGUCGAACGAGUGGCGGACGGGUGAGUAAUGUAUGGGAAACUGCCUGAUGGAGGGGGAUAACUACUGGAAACGGUAGCUAAUACCGCAUACCAUUGUCUGUGCCCAGAUGGGCUUAGGUGUUUGGUGGGGUAACGGCUCACAAAGGUUACGAUCCCUAGCUGGCCUGAGAGGAUGACCAGCCACACUGGAACUGAGACACGGUCCAGACUCCUACGGGAGGCAGCAGUGGGGAAUAUUGCGCAAUGGGCGCAAGCCUGAUCGAGCCAUGCCGCGUGUGUGAAGAAGGCCUUCGGUUUGUAAAGUACUUUCGGCAGGGAAGCGUUACCCGCAGAAAAAGCACCGGCUAACUCCGUGCCAGCAGCCGCGGUAAUAC
rnacentral:rRNA from 1 species